AUUAUAAACAACGACCUCGCCCGGGUGGGUUGGGUUAACUGAGAAAUGUACUGGCAUGUCUGGACCGCUACAACAAUCGGCGGAAAGAAUCAACCUCAAGUCCUUCUGGCUGUUCCCUAUACAUAUCACAGUCUACCAAUGCAUACAAGUAUGCAGUUUUUACAUCCAUCUGAUGUAACAACAUACCAUUCUGUGCAACUAUUUGGAUCAAAACUCUUAUGCUUGUCAUAUUUGCAGUUGGAGAAAAAGUCUCUUUAUAAUCUACUCCUGCCACUUGAUUGUACCCUUUAGCUACAUACCUUGCUUUGUAUGUCUCAGAACCAUCAGGAUUGUUCUUAAUGGCAUACACCCAUCGACCCCCCACUGCAUUGUUACCCUCAGACCAUCGCUGCAUCCACUUUCUUCAGCCACUUCGAGAAAAGCUCUGAUGUCAUCCAAGCUUUCUUAUUGGCCUCGUAAUGCAUAGGUAACGAUUUCACAUUUUUGAAGCAUUUGGGUUUCAAUGAUUUCCCAAUCAACAAUGCGGGCAAUUUUUCUAACCCACUCAUGUUUGUGCCCAAAAGAAGAGUCACGCGCUCCUUACUUUUUUUUCCGCUGUGGCAAGGUUCACUUUUGAAAGUCAUUGUUUUGUCUGGAGCGCAUUUGAAGAAUAAACCAGUUUCGUCUGCUUUGAAGACGUCAUCAGGACUGUAAUCUUGAACAAUUUCUGGCAGUUUCUGUAUCCAAUGACUGCAAACUUCUUCUGGCACUUGCACACUUUCGCCACAUAGCCUAUUAAACACAAUUCCAUGUCUUUUCUUGAAUUUGUCCAGCCAACCAUUGCUGGCUUUAAAUUCUGAAUGGCCUAACUCUUUGGCAAAUUCUUCUGCUUUUGCUUGCAAAAGCUUCCCGUCAAUAGGAACGUUCUUAUCCCUCGCUUGCACAAACCACUUCAAAAUGCAUUGUUCAAUGAUGGGAUACUCACAUUCCCUCAUCCUCUUCUGAUGGCCACAUGACUUCUCACUGUACAGUUUCAAAAUCUUUUCUUUUUCUUUCAAAAAAGUGGAGAGCGUACUUGUGGGAAUGCCAAAUUGCUUUGCAAUUUUUACUUUCUUCUUGUCGCCCUUUUCGACGGCUCUGAUGACAGUAACUUUUUCCGCGAUUGACAACGUUUUAAGCUUACGCUUACCAGUUGCCAUUUUCGGGACACGUACUGUACGGGAGACUAUGGAGAAGCACACAGACAUGAACACUAUUCAAGACUCCUCCCGACAAGAGACUGACAAAGGUGAAGGGAAAAUGGGUUAAAAACAUCUUUCUUGAGACAAUUUAGAAAUUCCAGACGCCACCCGGUUGGUUAUGACCCAUGGAGCACUGAAGGGAUGCAGAAUAUUCCAGCCACUCCCUUUAGUUUUUGGACAUUUUUGGUCUCAAAAUAGACGUCCUACCCUCAGAGAGUCGCUUAAUCCCUUGUGGAAUGCAUUAAGAUAAGACUUGGCGUCCCUUUUCUUGGUUUUCCGGACCAUGUGUUCUGAAAUGUAGCCUCAGAAUAAUAACCCAAAGGCCAUAGAAAAUUCGACUAACGGAGGUUGGAAGCCGAAAGGUUUUCGAGUUGAGGAGAUCUAAAAUACAUUGGUCUUUUGGGAAUUUGGCCGGGGACUAAAGAGUAAUUCAACAUAGAGGUUUUCGACUUAGGGAAGGUCGACUUAGCGAGGUCCGACUGUAACAGUAUUAACGAAAUUAUA